rnacentral:rRNA from 1 species
AUUGAACGCUGGCGGCAGGCCUAACACAUGCAAGUCGAGCGGAGCGGCGGACGGGUGAGUAAUGCCUAGGAAUCUGCCUGGUAGUGGGGGAUAACGUCCGGAAACGGGCGCUAAUACCGCAUACUAUCAGAUGAGCCUAGGUCGGAUUAGCUAGUUGGGGGGGUAAAGGCCUUCCAAGGCGACGAUCCGUAACUGGUCUGAGAGGAUGAUCAGUCACACGGGGACUGAGACACGGUCCAGACUCCUAAGGGAGGCAGCAGUGGGGAAUAUUUGACAAUGGGCGAAAGCCUGAUCCAGCCAUGCCGCGUGUGUGAAGAAGGUCUUCGGAUUGUAAAGCACUUUAAGUUGGGAGGCGUUACCAACAGAGUAAGCACCGGCUAACUUCGUGCCAGCAGCCGCGGUAAUUC